UACAGAGGGUGCGAGCGUUGUUCGGAAUUACUGGGCGUAAAGCGCGCGCAGGCGGCUCUUUAAGUCUACCCGGGAAAUGCCGGAGCUCAACUCCGUGCACGCCGGGGGAUACUGGAGAGCUGGAGACGAGUAGAGGCAAGCGGAAUUCCGGGUGUAGCGGUGGAAUGCGUAGAGAUCCGGAAGAACACCGGAGGCGAAGGCGGCUUGCUGGGCUUGGUCUGACGCUGAGGCGCGAAAGCGUGGGGAGCGAACAGG
rnacentral:rRNA from 1 species